GCUUGCUUGGUGGAUCAGUGGCGAACGGGUGAGUAACACGUGAGCAACCUGCCCUGGACUCUGGGAUAAGCGCUGGAAACGGCGUCUAAUACUGGAUAUGAGACGUGAUCGCAUGGUCGUGUUUGGAAAGAUUUUUCGGUCUGGGAUGGGCUCGCGGCCUAUCAGCUUGUUGGUGAGGUAAUGGCUCACCAAGGCGUCGACGGGUAGCCGGCCUGAGAGGGUGACCGGCCACACUGGGACUGAGACACGGCCCAGACUCCUACGGGAGGCAGCAGUGGGGAAUAUUGCACAAUGGGCGAAAGCCUGAUGCAGCAACGCCGCGUGAGGGAUGACGGCCUUCGGGUUGUAAACCUCUUUUAGCAGGGAAGAAGCGAAAGUGACGGUACCUGCAGAAAAAGCGCCGGCUAACUACGUGCCAGCAGCCGCGGUAAUACGUAGGGCGCAAGCGUUAUCCGGAAUUAUUGGGCGUAAAGAGCUCGUAGGCGGUUUGUCGCGUCUGCUGUGAAAUCCCGAGGCUCAACCUCGGGCCUGCAGUGGGUACGGGCAGACUAGAGUGCGGUAGGGGAGAUUGGAAUUCCUGGUGUAGCGGUGGAAUGCGCAGAUAUCAGGAGGAACACCGAUGGCGAAGGCAGAUCUCUGGGCCGUAACUGACGCUGAGGAGCGAAAGGGUGGGGAGCAAACAGGCUUAGAUACCCUGGUAGUCCACCCCGUAAACGUUGGGAACUAGUUGUGGGGACCAUUCCACGGUUUCCGUGACGCAGCUAACGCAUUAAGUUCCCCGCCUGGGGAGUACGGCCGCAAGGCUAAAACUCAAAGGAAUUGACGGGGACCCGCACAAGCGGCGGAGCAUGCGGAUUAAUUCGAUGCAACGCGAAGAACCUUACCAAGGCUUGACAUAUACGAGAACGGGCCAGAAAUGGUCAACUCUUUGGACACUCGUAAACAGGUGGUGCAUGGUUGUCGUCAGCUCGUGUCGUGAGAUGUUGGGUUAAGUCCCGCAACGAGCGCAACCCUCGUUCUAUGUUGCCAGCACGUAAUGGUGGGAACUCAUGGGAUACUGCCGGGGUCAACUCGGAGGAAGGUGGGGAUGACGUCAAAUCAUCAUGCCCCUUAUGUCUUGGGCUUCACGCAUGCUACAAUGGCCGGUACAAAGGGCUGCAAUACCGUGAGGUGGAGCGAAUCCCAAAAAGCCGGUCCCAGUUCGGAUUGAGGUUUGCAACUCGACCUCAUGAAGUCGUGA
rnacentral:rRNA from 1 species